ensembl:lncRNA
AAGGGAGAGAGGCCUUUCCACUGCGCCAGAUCAAGCUGCAGCAGGUAGGCAGCCAUUAAAUGGAGAGAGAGACUGAUGGACAAACACACGCAAAGACAGACACACACGCACACAGACACAGACACACACAGACACACACAGGCAGAAAGUAGGUAUUAAAAUAUAAUUUCAUAUCCAUGUUGCAGGGGGAAACAGAGAUGGCUGUCAGCCUGUGGAGAGAAGCUGCAGCAUCUGAUGUGCUCCAGGUUGGAGCGACUGUCAGGGUGUCCCAUCUUAGGACUAACCAGGGACAGUUUGGGACACAACUGCACCAACUUCACUUCCGUUGAGGUAGGUCUACUUUGGCUGUUGUUGUAUUCAUUUCAUGAAAAGUCUUUCAAUCACAUCUUCAAACUAUACAGGGAAGUCUGCUGAAUUAAUGUUGUGAUUGUAUUCAAUGUAAAUAAAAUAGAUUUGAAUUGACAGUAAAAAGUAUGCACACUUGAGUAAAUGUGUAUUUAAAAAGCAAGGGCUCCGGCCUAGGAUUAGUUUAUUUGCAUUAUUAAAAAGGGAGAUAAAUGGUUUGAUGUUUUGGUAGGUGCUGACUGAGGUAGAAUAUCUGAUGUCAAUGAUUCUCUCCACAGGAGGUGAUCUCAGAGGAGGUGGUGGGUGCGUGUGGGGUGAUGGACCUCGAGGGCUCUCCUGGCAUCCUGAACCUCCUGCUGGAGGUCGACCGCAUGACUACUAUUAGCAGGGCUCUGUUGGCGCCCAUAGAGCCCCACAUCACCAACCCGCCCUUAAGGGUAAAGCUGCAGAAGCACGGCAAUCGGGUUGUCAAAAUUGAAAUAGUUAAAAGUUCAUUUGUUUUUUUAUGUUGUUUAUUUGUUCCUGAAUGUGUAGUUAUUUAUUCAGUUAGUGUUAAUUUUGUUACAUGUUCAUGUUAAUAAAUUUGAAAUAUUUAAAGAACAUUUCUGCUUUUUUAAUGGUGUCCUUUGUUUCAUAGAAUCUUCAUUAUUGACCGUAAAUGCUGUGAAUACUUUUCUGGUGAUUUGUAUAAUAUACACAUGUCUCUGAUGAGUCCGGCCUGGUCCACAGAGCCUAUCGGCGAGCCAAAGGGGGGCAGUGAUCAGAGCCCCCGACAUGCUGUGCAGCCCGCUCUCUUCUAACCUGCUAUGACUGCCGCUCAGGCCCCGACAAAUUCUUCCAAGCAAAACAUAAAAAAAAUAAUAUUAAACAUAUUCAUUCAUUCAUUUUGGUCAAAUCAAUUUACUCUAGAUGGCCAUUAAUAUUGUUAUAGUUUUAAUGGCAAUACAGGUUGAAAAACACUACCUUUAAUCAGUAACUGGAAGAGUUUCGGUAUCAAUACUACUAUUUCUACGGCUAUGAAUACUACAACUACUACUCAUUUUACUACUAUGACUAAUAGCUAACAAUAUUAGUGGGGAUGCCCGUAGAUAUUAGUGGAAAGUCACUUUAAUGCCUUAUCGUUUAUACUUUAGAGGUUAACUAAUAUCUAAGGUUGUGACUGUUUCACUUUCCAAAUCAGUAACUUAACAAAUGUUGAAUAAAUACACAAAGAAACUGAACUGGGGUGAACUUUGCUCCUUUUGUGUUGUGGUGUAAUUAUUAUCUAUAUACAUUUAGUUUAGGGGUGUGAUUAUAAACUAAGUUUACAUUUAGUUGUGUUUUAUGGAGAAGCAGCAUAACACAAGGAGAAUGACGUGUGUGCUGACAUUCAGAUACUGUAGCUUGUAUUCUGUAAUAUCUUAUGGUUAGAGUUCAAAUAGCCAUAUUCUAUACAUGAAACAAAUCAUUGCAUACAAGUUACAGUUUUUGCCCAUUGCUUGAACACAUUUUGUAAAAUUUCGCUCAUUGUGCCAAAACUCUACACACAAGUAAACAUGACACAACACUGAGAAAUAUACCAUUCACAUCUGUGUCAAAUUGAAACUGUACUAUCAAAACCUAACAUUCCUUUGUCAAAAUGUAACUCUGAUGACAAAAUGACACAUACAUGCAUCAUUUGAAUACACAUUCAGAUCAGCAGCAACACACUAGUCUACUUGACCUCACCUCAAUGUCUCCGCAGGCCUGUUCCAUUGCCUGCAGAAGAGGCAUACGGCCAUGGGGUUGGCGGUCAUAUACGUACCAUCUCCAAGCGAAAAAAAAAAAAAUUCCUCUAUAGGAUUUAGAAAUGGCGAGUAAGGGGGCAAGUACACAACUUCAAAUUGAUCAUGGUUGGUGAACCAGUUCUGGACCAGAGCAGCCCGAUGGAAACUAACAUUCUCCCAGACAACAACAAACCUGGGCUGAUCUGGUCCAUCUUGUACAAUUGCAUUAUGAAGUGCAUCUAGAAAUGUGAUUAUGUGUUGCGCAUUAUAGGGACCCAGUUUGGCAUGAUGGUGCAGUAGCCCUCGAAGACUUAUGGCAGCACACAAUGUUAUAUUUCCCCCGCGCUGCCCCGGGACGUGCAAAAUUGCCCUUUGGCCAAUUAUAUUUUUUUAACAUUCUGGGAAAUAUUCGCACCUGAUGUCCUGGAGGUUUUUAAUGAGAGUCUGGCCUCUAGUUCCAUGCCGAUGUCCUGCCGCAGAACGGUGAUAACACUACUGCCGAAGGGGAACCUGCAGGACAUCGGCAACUGGCGCCCUGUGUCUCUACUGUGCGUGGAUUACAAGCUUCUGUCCAGGGUCUUUGCCUCCAGGCUGAGGGAAGCUAUGGAGCAGGUCAUCCAUCGGGACCAGACCUACUGUGUGCCCGGCAGGUCCAUGGUAGACAAUGUCUACCUCAUUCGAGAUGUUUUGGAGGUCGCCAGCUCGUUAGGUAUUAAUACUGGUCUGAUUUCUCUAGACCAGGGAAAGGCUUUUGACCGCGUUGAGCACAGCUUCCUCUGGAAGGUCAUGGGGAAGUUUGGGUUCAGCGCUGGUUUCAUAGCUAAGAUCAAAGUGUUGUAAAGCGAGGUUGAGAGUGUGCUGAAGAUAAACGGUAGUCUGUGCGCUCCUUUAAGGGUGCGUAGAGGGGUCCGGCAGGGUUGUGCCCUGUCCGGAAUGCUCUAUGCACUCUCCCUGGAACCCCUUCUCAGCAGAAUACGCUCUAGCCUGGAGGGCUUGGUUUUACCUGGUUUUAGUAGGAACAUAUCAGCUUAUGCAGAUGAUGUUGUUGUUUUUAUUAAGGACCAGAGGGAUGCAGACCUUUUAAACAGCAUGGUGGAGGAUUUUAGCAAGGCAGCGAGGGUGAACUGGAGGAAAAGCGAAGCCCUUGCUGUCGGUGAAUGGCGUGACGGCCUCCCGGUUCUUCCCCAAAGGUUAGUUUGGAGAAAAGACGGUUUUAAAUACCUGGGGAUCUAUCUGGGACAAAGAGACAUGGUCCAAAAGAACUGGGAGGGCGUCACAGAGAAGAUAGAGGGAAAACUUGUAAAAUGGAAAUGGCUGCUCCCUCAGAUGUCUUUUAAAGGUAGAGUGUUGGUUUUAAACAAUCUCAUUGCAUCUCAUUUGUGGCACCGCUUAACCUGCCUAGACCCACCCUCUGGGUUUCUAUCCAACAUACAACGAAAGAUGGUAGAUUUCUUAAGGGAGGGUCUACACUGGGUGCCACAAGGGGUGCUGUUUUGAGCCAGAGAGGAGGGGGGACAGGGCCUUGUCCACUUGGCCAGCUGGACGGCCACUUUAAGGUUACAGUUUUUGAAAAGUUACCUCACAUGUCCGGAGGGUUUAGUGUGGCGAGAUGUGGCCACUUGUAUCCUCAGACGUACAGACAACCUGGGGCUGGAUACUGCUGUUUUUAAUGGAUCCCAAUAUUUUAAAUAUAAAAGGGCUGCCUCUGUUUUAUCAGGGCGUUUUUAAGUGUUGGGCCCUUUUUAUUCAAAAACGAUGUCCACUGUCUAUCUCUUUGUACUGGUUGUUGAGAGAACCAUUGAUUUGCAGGGCCAAGUUGGACGUCAGCAGCAGCGUCACCCCUGACCUGACGGGGGCGCUGCGAAAAACAAGAACAUUGUGCCUGCACCAGCCGGUGGACGCAGUGGGGCCGACGCUGAGCGAUGCCCCGGCCCUGGGCUCACUGCUUGGGCUGCAUUUGGUCCGGGGGGCGGGGAGGCUCCUGGAACUGUGGAGCCAAAGGCUGACGGGGGAAGAAAAGAGCCUCCUCAUGGAAUACAGCCAGAAGAAGAUGAUACCGGACCCUGCAGACCCAUUUCCAGAGAUCUACCUGAGUCCGGGGCUAGGGGAUCUCACCGGCCAGUCUAUGAGCUCAGAGAGACUAUUUAUCAUGUUUUUACUGAGUGUAAGCGACUCGCAGGUUUCUUCUCUCUUUUAACAUUGGUUUUUAGUCUUUUUAGCGUGUUUUUUACGGAAAGGGUUUUUAUUAUGGGAGCUGCCUACAAGAAAACGGAAAAAGAAAAAUGGCAGCUCCUUAACUUUCUGUGCGGAGAGGCAAAAAUGGCAAUUUAUUUAAGCAGAAAAAACAGAGAGGAGAACCGAGAGGGGCAGGAGGCAAAAGUGAUAUGCCUGUGCAACAUUAGAGCAAGGCUCUAAUGGACGCUUUUAAACAGCGCUGGUGUUUUAAUGACAUUGUUUGUUCUGUGGUCAAUGGCGAGCUGGUAUUUGCACGUUUUUAGCAGGUGAUUACAUAGUUUUACUUUUUUUUUUUUUUUUUAAUGUUGUAUUUUUUCUUGGAAGGAAAAAACAACAACAACAAAAAGUGGCACGUGUGAUCAUGUCUUUCUCCCGUCCUCCUCCUCUCUUUCCAUUCAUUCCCCUCUCCCUUCUUCACCCUCUUUCUUUCUCCCCUCUUUCUCCCUUCCUCCUCCUCUCUUUCCAUUCAUCCCCCUCUUCCUUCCUCACCCUCUCGCCCUUUUUCUUUCUCUCUUCCUCCCUCCCUCUCUUUCACCUUUGCUCUCUCUAGUGUGCUCUCUCCUUCUACCCUCCACAAUGCCAACAUGGAGGGAAUUUUACUGAAGUGUUCCACCAGCCAUCAUUGCUAAAGGGAUAAGAAACCUCUACUGAAAAUAAGUCACAUGCAGCAUUCAAAAUGAACAGUGACGGACAACUACGGCUACGGUUGAAUAUUUAUUGCAACAAAUUAUUAUUAUUAUUAUUAUAAACAAGCGUAAAAAACAAUUGAACAUAAGUAACAAGUCAAAACAAAAUGAACACAUAACUGAUACAUUAUGAACACAAUCUUAUAAACAUAUACAUUUUAUAACAGUAGAAAUUUAAAUUUUUCGCCACUUCCAUCGCCUGCACCUUGUUUCCUGUCAUUUUUAUUUGAACUUUUAUUACGGGUUCGAUCAUAACAAGUUCGAUUGGCUCCCACAAUCUCUCCUCAAUUAAGACGGUACGGCCGUCUUCUAGGAGAAGGUUGAGGUUCCCCGGAUCUCCCUCAAUCUCUAUCACCCCGAGUGCCCCCACGAUGUCCUCUGAGCGUACCUCCUGUUGAGAGAAAAGUGGACAUUAUCCCGCUGUCAGCCGCAAUCCAGAGCAAUCAUUAUCGUUUUUAAGCAGGAGAAUAAAAUAACCCCAGCACGGAGGCAUUGCAUUAUAAUUUAUUCAACUUUUUUUUUAAAUAACAUAACAUCACUCAAUCAAACUUUGCUGUUGAAGCCAGAUAGUGUAAAGAUUAUCUAAAAAGUGAAUGUUUGUUUCAAUUUCAUAAAAAAACAAGUAGGCCUACCUCGAUGGUGGAAAAGUUUGUGGACUGGAGUCUGAGCCCAUAGUUUAAACUCUCAGCUUUAAGAUGGGAAACUUUAAUGUGGGCCCCACCUGCAGCUGCCAUACGGCCGCCUCCCUCCAGAAACACAGCGACAUCUGUGAUUCCCCCUGUAGAAGACAACAGAGCAUCCUCCUUAUCUGCAUUGUGUUUGCCGUCACCCUCCUCCUCCUCCUGACUCGCUUUUUCUAUAUUGAACGGCAGACCAUAACGGCUGGUGACUCUAAAGUGCAAGUUCACACAUGGAAGUACACCGCAGGAUAAGCGGUUUGACAAUGAAUCCUGCCAGUGUUGGUGACUCCUUGGAUAUUUGACAAAAUCUUUCGUUCAAUGGGUGAGCGGGAAAAUAGAGAAUCCUUGACAUCUGACUCAUCAUUUACAUAAACUAUCCUGAAGUCGAAAACAGAGAGAAGUAAGUUUUUUUGUCCUCAUAAAUGUGAUAAUCAAAACUAUAUGAAUAAUACUUGACAUACACUAUAUAUAUCUCCUUUUAUUGACAAACUAUUACAAAACAAAACUAUUAUAUAGAAUUUUUUUUUAACAUUGCUAGCUAGAUAUCUUAAAGUAGCAGCCAUCAAUUUCCUGUUCCUCUGACAUCCAAGUAAUUGUCAUUAACUUAGUCGCCUGAAGGUCAAAAGCUGAGAGAAGUGUUUUUUCCCCUCAAAUGUACUAAUUUAAAAUAAUAGCUGACAUAUACUAUAUAUCUUUAUAUUGACAAAUUACAUUAAAACGUUUUUUACAAGCUAGCUAGAUAUCGGUCAUGCGAUAUCUAGCUAGCACCGUCAUUUCCUGUUUUAGGCAUACAAAAGUGAAUCACGUGAAUUUCUAAGAUGAAAUGUGUGAGCUUACUCCUUAACUUAGUGUCCAUUUUUAUAUUUCAGAAUGGCCCUAAAACAGCUUCUUGGGACCAAAAUGCCCACGGCUUAUUUGAAACCACCAGCAAUCCACCUAUGCGUGGUUCGGAAAAAAGAGCAGGCCAGGGUGGUGACCUGGAACUUUGGCGUAACGGGUGCGAGUCCAGCUGUUACAAAAAAAAAAACGUACUUGUGUUUUUUUCGGACGGGAAGUCUCUUACAAAGACGACCAUUUAUGAGGAGUUUUCCUCCUUUUCAGGAGGGUGGGAGUUAUUUUGUUAAGGGGUAUGGGUUAAGAGGGCAGUCGGUUCUCCAUCAUGCUAAAUAUUAGUAGGGAAACCGUCUUCUUUAGAAGAUAGCAAUAAGCCAAGAGCUCAGGAGCCAAGCGGAGAGCCUCCUCUGCCCCCCAUCUCCUCUGACCCCCCUGAGCAGCUGUGCAGAUGUGGCGGGGCUGUUUACCGUGGAGGGGGAGGUCGUCGAAGUAAGUUCAGUCUUAGCCUGUGGUCGUGUAAAUAAGGUAACAGGUUUAAAAAUAUGGUGCAUUGGCAUACAUUGUUAUUAACUCACAAAUCCAUCUUGUUUAGAUGUCAAUUGUGAGGAAAAUAAAAAAGGAAAAAGAGGCCUACCCCCUGCGCCAAAUACAGCUGCAGCAGGGGGAAACAGCAGUCUGGGAUCUGCUCCAAGUGGGGGGACACAUCAGAGUGUCCCAUCUAAGGACCACCCUGUCCCAAUAUGGGACGCAGGCGCAUUCCACAAAUAUUUCCACCAUUGAGGAGGUGACAUCAGAGGAGGUGGUUGGUGUGUGUGGGGUGGUUGAAGUGGAGGGCUCUCCAGACACCCUGAACCUCCUGCUGGAGGACGACCGCACCACCACCGUCAGCAGAGCGCUGUGGGAGCCCCUUGACCCCCAACUGAAAAAUCCACCCCUGUGAAAAUAAAAAUCAUUGGCAAUCAUGUGUCCAAAAUGUAAUUGUAUAAAGUUUAAUUUGUUUGUUUCAUAUGUUCUUUGUUCCUGAACAUUCUGUAAUGCAUGAGUUGUUUUACUGUGUUUAUUUUGUUAUUUCUAUUGUUGGAUUGAUCCGUUCUGUCAAAAAAAAAUAUUUCAAAAGCUGAGAGAAGUGUUUUUUUUCCUCAUAAAUGUGAUAAUUAAAAUACCUGAGUGUAACAGAUUGGUCCUCUGGGGGGGGGGUCUUGGAAAGACGAGCAUGAGGCAGUCGGGUCCAUUAUAAAUGGUUUUAUUUAUUGUUUCACACCCAAAACACAGCCGGCUCCAGCUUCCUCGCUCUCUCGCUGUCGCCGGACCUCUCCUACUUAACAGGCAGAAUACAAACACGGAUUAAUAUCAGCUGAGGCCAAUUGCCUCCCCCGGCACCGUUCCCUGAACCACUCCCUUCUCAGUCCCCCCCUGCAGCCGAGCCAAACCACGCCCGCCACCACACUGACAUAUACUAUAUAUCUUUUUGACAAUUUACAUUACAACAUUGCUAGCUAGAUAUCUCAAAGUAUCAGUCAUCAAUUUCCUGUUUUAGUCAUACAACAUACCUUUUCCAAGCGCAGAGCCUCUUCUGACCCCCCUGAGCAGCUGUACAGAUGUGGCCGGGCUGUUCACCGUGCAGGGGGAGGUCCUCGAGGUGAGUUCAAUCUUAGCCUGUUGUGGUGUAAAACAGGGCAACAGGUUUAAUAUUUGGUGCAUAUUGGCAUAAAUUGUUAUUAACUAGCAAAUCCAUCUUGGAAAGUGUCAGUGGUAUGAGAUCAGGGCUCCUAAAUGAAAAAAAAAUUAGGAGCAGUGUUUUUUUUAAGCAGUUCCUGCUCAUUGCCACACUAUUGCAGAGCCAUAGAAAAGAGUUGCGACACCACACUUUUUUAUAUGGCUCUGGCCCAUUGGUUGCAAAUUUGCAUAAAGUUUAGUGCAUCGGGUAUCG